rnacentral:lncRNA from 1 species
UUUUGGGGAUGCAGCUGGAGGGUUCCAUGGCGUUUUUAGCAGGGACGGUGUGCGGCAGGUUACGUGUGCUGGACACGUCAAGUUGAGGUGCCUAAAGUUUCUAUAUGGCUUAAUUUUGUCGCUCUCAGCACCCUUGCAAGAUCAUUGUUUUAUGAACUCUUCAAAAUUUCUCUACUUUUACUGAAUUUGGGUCUUUGUUUCUAAGAUUCCCCUAACUUAUGUUGUCAUCUGGUUCUCCCAUCUUAUAGGUUAUUUGCUCAGUUGACCAUUUAUAACAAGGAACAAAAAAAUCACUAGGUGUUCUAUACAUGUCCUCCAGUAUGGUAUACUAUUCGUUUUUAAGAAUUUGUAUGCCCUUUUUCUGGAAUGUCGUCUCUUGGAUACAUCAAGAUAGUUGAUUCCAAUUGUUAUUGUUGUUGUUUUCAUACUACAUUGUUGCUACUGUUCCUAAGUGUAGCGUACGAUUUUUUUUGAUCAUCAUUGCCCUUUCUAGGUCAAUUUUGAUAUAUUUAAGCUACUAUAGUUGGGAAGCUAUUUUAGGAAAGUGUCAAUGCUACCUCGGAGGUUUCUUUAAUAUCUGAUGAGUAUCAGCAAAAUAUAUGACACCACAAUGAUGUCUAGAACAGGAAGUGAUUAGGCCUCAAUGCUAUAUCUAUAUGUUUGCUGGAUUGUAGCAGCUUCAAACCGUGUUUUAAGAACUCCAAUUUUCCCAAAUCUGAAUGCACAAAAACUUCUUGGUAUUUCACAACAAUAUAAAUUACACCGAUUUUUAACUGACUAUCAGGUGUAUCUUCUUUCGGUCUGUUAAUUUGAUCUCCGUGUGAACACAUAUGUGUCAGUUUCAUCAUGCUAGCAAGGAGAAUCAGGUGUUCCUCCGUCGCCGCCGUUGCCACCAACAACAAAAAUGACGACCAGCUCAUGAGACGGCUAAUAGAGAAUUGGAGCCUUCUUGAGAAGGCAACACACUUGAGAUCAAGAGAGAGGGGGGAGAGAUCGAGGGAGGGAGAGGGAGGAAGGAAGGGGGAGAUUUUGCAGGUACACAGGACAACCAUGUUAUAAAAUGUAAAUGAGAUUUGGUGGUAAGUCAUCAUUGUGUUUUCCCAAUCUGUCAGACAUCAUUGCGUUUGUUCCCAACCUGUCAGACAUUAUAAAUUUCAUGUUGAAUAUGUCAUAGAAAUGUUUCUCAAUAAAUAUGUUUUUUUUGCUCUUGAUAUUUUAAUAUGAUUGUAAAUUCAUCCAUUUAGAUAUCACUCUGAGAAAUAUUUAUAGUUGGGACAAGGAAGAAAAGGAAAUGGCUUUAACAGUAAGAAAGAAGUCGCCGAUGCAUUUAGUUUUGAAUGGUAUAUGACAUUUAGUACUCCCUUUUAUCCAUGUUACUUCGUCACAGUUGCACACAAAUCUGUUGUUACAUCCUACAAAAAUGCAAAGGGGAAGUAUGUUGUUAGGUGCACUCUCAUGAUAAAGAUUUCAUUAAAAACACGAAGGGUGAUUCGGUCAGAUAGGGAUCAAAAAUUGGUUACUGCUAUUUCAUUCUAUCCAUUUGGAUGGUAAUUCAGAAUUUAUCUUAUGAAAAUGAAUGUUUGUGAUAUGUUAGUAAUCUAACACUUGUAAAACAAUACAUGCAGGUGCAUGCAAUAGCUCUGAUUUAUUAGAGUAGUUAUCCCAAGUUCCAAGGGACAAGAACAAGAUAAUGGAGCUCAAGGGGUAUUCAAUCAAGAGGCAAGCUGGGAAAAGAAUAUUCAAACCCCUCUGCCCUUGGAAGUAGCUUCUACGUAAAUUGCAUUUAUUGUUAUAAGAUUGUAAUUAUCAAAUGUAUGAAUCUGUGUGAAAUUGUGCAAAGGCCCGCUUGUUCUUUCACUUUUAAUAGAGUUGCACUGUACAUGGAAUUCAAACUCUUUAAACUCGACAACGAUAUUCUUGAUGAGAGCAUAACAAAACCCUGAAAAGGCACACUUAUUCUUGAAUUACAUAGUGAGAAGUGAUUGGUGUCCUUUUUCUUUGUUAAAUCGUCCAUCUCAACAUUCAACAUUGUUAUUUGUUAUUUCUACUAACAUUAACAUGGUG